UGCAUGUCUCAGUGCAAGCCAAACUAAGGUGAAACCGCAAAUGGCUCAUUAAAUCAGUUAUAAUUUAUUUGAUUAUCCAUUAUAUUACUUGGAUAACUGUGGCAAUUCUAGAGCUAAUACAUGCAAACAGAGUUUUUGCCUUUACCGGCAAAAGCGCUUUUAUUAGAUCAAAACCAAUGCGUUAAUUUUACGAUUGACGAUAACACUGGUGACUCUGAAUAACUUUUUGAUGAUCGCAUGGUCUCUGUGCCAGCGACAAUUCUUUCAAAUGUCUGACUUAUCAACUGUCGUUGGUAGCUUUUACGCUUACCAUGGUUGUAACGGGUAACGGGGAAUCAGGGUUUGAUUCCGGAGAGGGAGCCUGAGAAACAGCUACCACAUCCAAGGAAGGCAGCAGGCGCGCAAAUUACCCACUUCCAGCACGGAGAGGUAGUGACGAAAAAUAACGAUACGGGACUCAUCCGAGGCCCCGUAAUCGGAAUGAGAACACUUUAAAUACUUUAACAAGUAUCCAUUGGAGGGCAAGUCUGGUGCCAGCAGCUGCGGUAACUCCAGCUCCAAUAGCGUAUAUUAAAGUUGUUGCGGUUAAAAAGCUCGUAGUUGAGAUUGUGUUUCGCACUGUUGGUGCACCAUUAUUGGUGUUUACUUACAUGUUGCGAAACGUC
rnacentral:rRNA from 1 species